rnacentral:rRNA from 1 species
UACGGAGGGUCCAAGCGUUAUCCGAAAUCAUUGGGUUUAAAGGGUCCGUAGGCGGUUUUGUAAGUCAGUGGUGAAAGCCCAUCGCUCAACGGUGGAACGGCCAUUGAUACUGCAAGACUUGAAUUAUUAGGAAGUAACUAGAAUAUGUAGUGUAGCGGUGAAAUGCUUAGAGAUUACAUGGAAUACCAAUUGCGAAGGCAGGUUACUACUAAUAUAUUGACGCUGAUGGACGAAAGCGUGGGGAGCGAACAGG